UUGAACCUAGUUUAUUCAGAUCCCCUCCCCCACACUAGUUUGAGCACGUGAUCAAUUAGGAGCGCGGUUCAUACAGCAGCAACAAAGCUUUGCAAGAAGAGUUGAGUGUUGCAGUCGUGUCCCCAGAAAAUCUAAUUCGUUUUAUUCUGCUUUGGACAUCGAAACUGUAUAAUACGAAUUGCAUCCAAUAAGUAAAUAAUAAUGAUGUUUCAUCACAAUUCCAUAUUAGCAUUUGGGAAUAAUGUUGCUUUCAGAACAAUUACAAUAUUUUAAGUCGUUUUUAAAAUAUGUGUGUGUGUGUAUAUACUGUAUAUAUAUACAGUAUGUAUACACACACACAUGUAUAUAUGCUGUGCUCAUUUUAGGAGUACAUGACAUUGGUGUAAACAAGAUUUCAUAAAAUAUGUUGAUAUUGCUUGACAUUUACUAUGCCCCACUUCAAAACGGACCUCAGAGGAAAAGUGAAGGAGUUUUGGUUAUGAAGGGGCGGGGCUGUUUUCACACCCCAAAACGUCACAGUUACGUUGCAGGAAACGAGUUUCUACAGCUACCCUCCCCCACAUCACACUCGCUGACCAUCAAUUAGGAAACGCGCGCUUUGCUACCUGCACAAAAGGAAGGCGUUGAGAAGAGUGAGCGUACGAGUCAGCAUCAUCGAGAAAACCCCAGAAAGUGACAAAUACUUCAGAAUUAAAGCAGAUGGACAAUCCCACUGAAGAUGGUGAUUAUUCUGACUCAAGUCUUUUUGGAUCAGAUGAGGAAUACAAACCAACUAAGACAUCCUCUGAGUCGAGUGAUGACGAGGAGAUAUUCCAUCCAAAGCCCCAAAAAGGGAAAAGCAUCUCUCCAAAAGAGGGAAGACUGAAUUGGAUGAUUCGAGUCCAGGCGGGGACCCUGGCGGUCCGAUCCUUGGCUGCAGAAGCUAGCUCUUGGGACAUGGAAUGUCACCUCUCUGGCAGGGAAGGAGCCCGAGCUGGUGUGUGAGGCAGAGAAUUUCCGACUGGAUAUAGUCGGACUUGCCUCCACACACAGCCUGGGUUCUGGUACCAGUUCUCUCGAGAGGGGUUGGACUCUCUUCCACUCUGGAGUUGCUCACGGUGAGAGGCGCAGAGCAGGUGUGGGCAUACUCAUUGCCCCCCGCCUCAGUGCCUGUACAUUGGGGUUCACACCGGUAGACGAGAGGGUUGCCUCCCUCCGCCUUCGGGUGGGUGGACGGGUCCUGACUGUUGUUUGUGCAUAUGCACCAAACAGCAGCUCAGCAUACCCACCCUUUUUGGAGUCCUUGGAGGGUGUGCUG